rnacentral:rRNA from 1 species
UACGGGGGGGGGCAAGCGUUGUUCGGAAUUACUGGGCGUAAAGGGCUCGUAGGCGGCCAACUAAGUCAGACGUGAAAUCCCUCGGCUUAACCGGGGAACUGCGUCUGAUACUGGGUGGCUUGAAUCCGGGAGAGGGAUGCGGAAUUCCAGGUGUAGCGGUGAAAUGCGUAGAUAUCUGGAGGAACACCGGUGGCGAAGGCGGCAUCCUGGACCGGUAUUGACGCUGAGGCGCGAAAGCGGAGGGAGCAAACGGG